rnacentral:rRNA from 1 species
UACAGAAGGUGCGAGCGUUAAUCGGAAUUACUGGGCGUAAAGGGUGCGUAGGUGGUUUUGUAAGUUAGGUGUGAAAGUCCCGGGCUUAACCUGGGGAUUGCGCCUGAUACUGCAAAGCUAGAGUACUGUAGAGGAAAGUGGAAUUUCCAGUGUAGCGGUGAAAUGCGUAGAUAUGCGGAGGAACACCGAUGGCGAAGGCAAUCCCCUGGGCCUGCACUGACGCUCAUGCACGAAAGCGUGGGGAGCAAACAGG